UGGCUCAGGAUGAACGCUAGCUACAGGCUUAACACAUGCAAGUCGAGGGGCAUCAGGAAGAAAGCUUGCUUUCUUUGCUGGCGACCGGCGCACGGGUGAGUAACACGUAUCCAACCUGCCCUUUACUCGGGGAUAGCCUUUCGAAAGAAAGAUUAAUACCCGAUAGCAUAAUGAUUCCGCAUGGUUUCAUUAUUAAAGGAUUCCGGUAAAGGAUGGGGAUGCGUUCCAUUAGGUUGUUGGUGAGGUAACGGCCCACCAAGCCUUCGAUGGAUAGGGGUUCUGAGAGGAAGGUCCCCCACAUUGGAACUGAGACACGGUCCAAACUCCUACGGGAGGCAGCAGUGAGGAAUAUUGGUCAAUGGGCGCUAGCCUGAACCAGCCAAGUAGCGUGAAGGAUGAAGGCUCUAUGGGUCGUAAACUUCUUUUAUAUAAGAAUAAAGUGCAGUAUGUAUACUGUUUUGUAUGUAUUAUAUGAAUAAGGAUCGGCUAACUCCGUGCCAGCAGCCGCGGUAAUACGGAGGAUCCGAGCGUUAUCCGGAUUUAUUGGGUUUAAAGGGAGCGUAGGUGGACUGGUAAGUCAGUUGUGAAAGUUUGCGGCUCAACCGUAAAAUUGCAGUUGAUACUGUCAGUCUUGAGUACAGUAGAGGUGGGCGGAAUUCGUGGUGUAGCGGUGAAAUGCUUAGAUAUCACGAAGAACUCCGAUUGCGAAGGCAGCUCACUGGACUGCAACUGACACUGAUGCUCGAAAGUGUGGGUAUCAAACAGGAUUAGAUACCCUGGUAGUCCACACAGUAAACGAUGAAUACUCGCUGUUUGCGAUAUACAGUAAGCGGCCAAGCGAAAGCAUUAAGUAUUCCACCUGGGGAGUACGCCGGCAACGGUGAAACUCAAAGGAAUUGACGGGGGCCCGCACAAGCGGAGGAACAUGUGGUUUAAUUCGAUGAUACGCGAGGAACCUUACCCGGGCUUAAAUUGCAGUGGAAUGAUGUGGAAACAUGUCAGUGAGCAAUCACCGCUGUGAAGGUGCUGCAUGGUUGUCGUCAGCUCGUGCCGUGAGGUGUCGGCUUAAGUGCCAUAACGAGCGCAACCCUUAUCUUUAGUUACUAACAGGUUAUGCUGAGGACUCUAGAGAGACUGCCGUCGUAAGAUGUGAGGAAGGUGGGGAUGACGUCAAAUCAGCACGGCCCUUACGUCCGGGGCUACACACGUGUUACAAUGGGGGGUACAGAAGGCAGCUAGCGGGUGACCGUAUGCUAAUCCCAAAAUCCUCUCUCAGUUCGGAUCGAAGUCUGCAACCCGACUUCGUGAAGCUGGAUUCGCUAGUAAUCGCGCAUCAGCCACGGCGCGGUGAAUACGUUCCCGGGCCUUGUACACACCGCCCGUCAAGCCAUGGGAGCCGGGGGUACCUGAAGUACGUAACCGCAAGGAUCGUCCUAGGGUAAAACUGGUG
rnacentral:rRNA from 1 species